GACAGAGGGUGCAAACGUUGCUCGGAAUCACUGGGCGUAAAGGGCGCGUAGGCGGCCAGCACAAGUCAGUUGUGAAAUCUCCGAGCUUAACUCGGAAAGGUCAACUGAUACUGUGCGGCUAGAGUGCGGAAGGGGCAACUGGAAUUCUUGGUGUAGCGGUGAAAUGCGUAGAUAUCAAGAGGAACACCAGUGGCGAAGGCGGCUCACUGGACCGGUACUGACGCUGAUGCGCGAAAGCGUGGGGAGCAAACGGG
rnacentral:rRNA from 1 species